rnacentral:lncRNA from 1 species
AGAAUCUCCUAACGACCUAUCAGAUUCCGAUGAAAUAGCCUAUGGCUCAUCUAUAUAUAAAGAGGUAACAAAGGGAUCCUCAAAGAGGCCAGACUCUAAAAAAUAGUCCACAUUUUUGCUCUUUCAUUAUCUCUUUUCUCCAUUGUCCUUAUAAAGCUCCGACUGAUUUAAGCAGCGAAGAAUCUCUUAUUAAAAAAUCUUCGAUCAGAAUGCACUGAUCUUGCAGGUUUUUUCUGAGCACUCCAAUCUUUAGGCCGAAGCCAAACCCCC